CCUGGGUCCAGAGUUCAUGCCUUGCCCACACUGGGCACUGGGUGUUCCUACAGGCCCCAAACCAUGUGUGUCUCUUGUUUUCCAGCUGCUGAAGGCCUUAACCUCCCAACUCCUGGUGGCUCCCGAGAUCACAAAGAAAACAAGGUCCCCACGGGAGCUUGGGAAAUGCAGCUCAUACCAGAUCCUGUGACCUGCAAGCUGUGCCACAUAAAAGGAGCAGUUGCUAAAUCACAGGCAGAGGCUUCCUGACACCAGUUGGAUUAUGUUACUGUUCUGCUCCAACCUCCAUGGCUCCCUAUCACCUCUCAUGCACGUUUGGAGACCAACAAUUAGAGAGACAGAUGGGCUAAGAGGACAGCCAGUAUUUUGGCCCUAGCCCUCAGUGAGGACUCAGCAUAUAAGAGAAUCUCAGCUGCGUCAUCCUGUACUCAGUGAGUCCCUGGUCUUCUGAUGAAGAAGACUGUAAGACCACUGCAGAAAUUUAUCAUCGGUGUGUGGUGUGCCUAAGGAGAGUCACCAGGAGCAAAUAUCUCCCAAGCUUUCACAGAAAGCAACUUGGUCAAGCAAUAGCCAUGACUCACCCAAACAGCUGACACUGAUGGAAGAACUAAGAGGUGCUGUAGCUGGUUCCAAGGUGUUCCUGAGGAGACCUAACUGACCUUGAUAGAUAACAAAAACUGUGUUUAAAACAAGUCUCACCUUAACUUGGUCUUGAACAUCCUGCAGAAAAUGUACAACUACUAGAGGAUAUAAAACAAUGCUGAAGUAAUAUGUUAUAAAAGAAACUCAAAUCACUAAUACUUUUGGCAAUUGCCAGCUACACUGGUGGCUGACUACUGUCACAGAUUAAUGCACUGCACAGGGUUUCAACUGCAGAAUGCAGGGACUUAAAAUCUUUGGACUUCACUUAAAAUAAAAAGAUGUACAGAGCUCUCCAAUACAGCUCCUCCAGCUUCAACUGAUCACCCAACCUGUGCAAUAACAAAACAAAAAAGAGGGAUAGGUAGGAAGCCGUUAAAGCUGGAGAUUGAUUACAUGUGUGGGCCUAAAGCACCCAGCCAGAAAAAACCAGAAAGACCAAAACAAGCUAUGUAAACAAGUUAUUCCAGCACCAACAAGGCAAGGGCCCCAGGCCUGCCAAGCAAUGGGUUGUUAGACAGAAGGGCUGAAAUUGACAUCACCUCUCCCAGUAUAUAAAUAAAGGUGUUACAGUGGUUGAGCAGUUCCUUUCCUCCCAUCGGCAGUGUGAGGGCUCU